CAGUGAGACUGUUUCUUUUGAAUAUGUACCUGCUUCACUCUGGUCUCAGGAGCUCUACAGUAUAAUAAUGGAUUCAUUGUUUUAUUCAUCAUUAGUUAAUACUACACCUGAUGAUCCCUCAACUGCUAAAAGAAUAUCUGAAGCAGCUGUGUCUUGUUUGACUGCAAUGUGUACUAGUCUACCAAUUGAUAUAAAGCAAAACCUCAUUGCAUACAUUGCAUCUAAUGUUAAUAC